rnacentral:rRNA from 1 species
AUUGAACGCUGGCGGCAGGCCUAACACAUGCAAGUCGAACGAGUGGCGGACGGGUGAGUAAUGUCUGGGAAACUGCCUGAUGGAGGGGGAUAACUACUGGAAACGGUAGCUAAUACCGCAUACCAUCGGAUGUGCCCAGAUGGGAAUGGCUAGUGGGGGGGGUAACGGCUCACCUAGGCGACGAUCCCUAGCUGUUCUGAGAGGAUGACCAGCCACAUUGGAACUGAGCCACGGUCCCAACUCCUACGGGAGGCGGCAGUGGGGAAUAUUCGACAAUGGGGGCAAGCCUGCUGCAGCAAUGCCGCGUGUAUGAAGAAGGCCUUCGGGUUGUAAAGUACUUUCAGCGGGGAGGCGGUACCCGAAGAAGAAGCACCGGCUAACUCCGUGCCAGCAGCCGCGGUAAUUC